AUUGAACGCUGGCGGCAGGCCUAACACAUGCAAGUCGAACGAGUGGCGGACGGGUGAGUAAUGUCUGGGAAACUGUCUGAUGGAGGGGGAUAACUACUGGAAACGGUAGCUAAUCCCGCAUACCAUCCGAUGUGUCUAGAUGGGAUUGGCUGGUUGGUGGGUUAAGGGCUCACCAAGGCGACGAUCCCUAGCUGGUCUGAGGGGAUGAACAGCAACGCUGGAACUGAGACACGGUCCCAACUCCUACGGGAGGCAGCAGUGGGAAGUAUUGCACAAUGAGCGCAAGCCUGAUGCAGCCAUGCCGCGUGUAUGGGGAGGGGCUUCGGGUUGUAGAGUACUUUCAGCGGGGAGGCGUUACCCGCAGAAGAAGCACCGGCUAACUCCGUGCCAGCAGCCGCGGUAAUUC
rnacentral:rRNA from 1 species